CGUCUCCACUGGCUGCAUUACUGCCAAGCAAGCUUCCCUAGCUAAUGAACAGCUAAGAUCUUUAUAUUCCCAGGUAUUUACUUGUGUCAAAUAAUUCAAUUAUAUUUGCUUGCUUGCCUGGUUAUAAAUGAUUGUUACUCUUCUCAAAAAAAAAAAAAAAAAAAUGAUUGUUACUAGAUAAAAUUACAAUUUUCAAUUGAUCAUGAUAUUAGGUCCGACCUAAUGCUAUUGCACUCGUCGAUGCAUAUAAUUACACCGAUCACUAUCUUGGCUCGGUCCUUGGACGGUAUGAUGGAAAUGUGUACCCGAAACUCUACGAGGAAGCAUGGAAGGAUCCUCUAAAUGACUCAGUUGUGCCUGAUGGCUACCAUGAAUACAUCAGGCCUCUUCUGAAACAACAGCUUCGAAAUGCAAGACUCUAAAGAAUAUGAUGAAAGGGUGUGGUGUAUACCCAAGUAAUUCAAAUCGUAUACACUUUUUAUCCUAUCAAUAAUUUUUGCCAAUAAAAUUAACAUAUUGACCACCCACAAUAGAAUAAUAUGGGUCUG
rnacentral:lncRNA from 1 species